rnacentral:rRNA from 1 species
CCCAGCUCGUCAUGCUAGAGCACUUUUUCAAUGGGCUCUCCAACGACAAGGCGAAGACCCAUUCGUAUGUCAUCCAUAUCAACUUUCGAUGUCAUUUACUGCGCCUACCAUGGUGACCACGGGUAACGGGAAUCAGGGUUUGAUUCCGGAGAGGGAGCCUGAGAAACGGCUACCACAUGCAAGGAAGGCAGCGGGCGCGCAAAUGACCCACUCCCAAAGCGGGAAGGUAGUGACG